rnacentral:rRNA from 1 species
GUGCCAGCCGCCGCGGUAAUACGAAGGGGGCUAGCGUUGUUCGGAUUUACUGGGCGUAAAGCGCACGUAGGCGGAUUGUUAAGUCAGGGGUGAAAUCCCGAGGCUCAACCUCGGAACUGCCUUUGAUACUGGCAAUCUUGAGGCUGGAAGAGGUUGGUAGAAUUCCCAGUGUAGAGGUGAAAUUCGUAGAUAUUGGGAAGAAUACCAGUGGCGAAGGCGGCCAACUGGUCCAGAUCUGACGCUGAGGUGCGAAAGCGUGGGGAGCAAACAGGAUUAGAUACCCUAGUAGUCC